rnacentral:rRNA from 1 species
UUCCGUAGGUGAACCUGCGGAAGGAUCAUUACCGAGUUGAUUCGAGCUCCGGCUCGACUCUCCCACCCAAUGUGUACCUACCUCUGUUGCUUUGGCGGGCCGCGGUCCUCCGCACCGGCGCCCUUCGGGGGGCUGGCCAGCGCCCGCCAGAGGACCAUAAAACUCCAGUCAGUGAACUUCGCAGUCUGAAAAACAAGUUAAUAAACUAAAACUUUCAACAACGGAUCUCUUGGUUCUGGCAUCGAUGAAGAACGCAGCGAAAUGCGAUAAGUAAUGUGAAUUGCAGAAUUCAGUGAAUCAUCGAAUCUUUGAACGCACAUUGCGCCCCUUGGUAUUCCGAGGGGCAUGCCUGUUCGAGCGUCAUUUCAACCCUCAAGCUCUGCUUGGUAUUGGGCCUCGUCCUCCACGGACGCGCCUUAAAGACCUCGGCGGUGGCGUCUUGCCUCAAGCGUAGUAGAAAACACCUCGCUUUGGAGCGCACGGCGUCGCCCGCCGGACGAACCUUUGAAUUAUUUCUCAAGGUUGACCUCGGAUCAGGUAGGGAUACCCGCUGAACUUAAGCAUAUCAAUAAGCGGAGGA